rnacentral:lncRNA from 1 species
GAUGGACGUCUCCAGAGAUCGGAGCCAAACGCGCACAUGAGGCUUUACGAUGAUAUCCUUACCAACGGGUAGUCGCAGUCGAUAAGGCGGUGGCGAUGACGAGGACGAGGACGAGGACGACAACGGGUAUGGUCUUGAUGAUGAGCUGGUGCCGUGGUCGGUGAGCGAAGACAUUGACCUUCACCGCGGCCUUCUCCGCGUUCGGCGAUCCAAUUCCUUGGCUCAUCGCCCCAGCCUUCUUCUUCUCCGACAAGCUGCUAAUGCUAGAAAAAUUCUGAAAGGAGAGAGGUUUCAAAUGACAAUAUACAAACUAGAGAGUGGGAAUGUAAACAUCUGCAGGCAGUUCAAGUUAUUCCAUUCAGGUCUAGCUCUCAGCCAGAAAUUGUGACCUUAAGGGAUGAAUGUAAUGGAGUAAGAAGCUCGUGAGGGGGAUCUUGCAAUUUGCGAAUGCUACUGAUUUUCUUUUGUCAUCUUCUUAGAAUUAGUUAUAUAUUUAAAAAGUUCCACCAAGGUUCUUAUCAAUAAAUAGGCAUCAUCUAUUUUGAAUUACAAUGCUUUAGUUUU